rnacentral:rRNA from 1 species
UACGUAGGGUGCGAGCGUUAAUCGGAAUUACUGGGCGUAAAGCGUGCGCAGGCGGUUUUGUAAGCCAGAUGUGAAAUCCCCGGGCUUAACCUGGGAAUGGCAUUUGGGACUGCAAGGCUUGAGUGCGGCAGAGGAGACGUGGAAUUCCUGGUGUAGCAGUGAAAUGCGUAGAUAAUCAGGAGGAACACCGAUGGCGAAGGCAGGUCUCUGGGC